AAUGCGGGACUCUAAGAGGCCCCGUAAUUGGAAUGAGUACACCUUAAAUCGUUUAACGAGUAUCAAUUGGAGGGCAAGUCUGGUGCCAGCAGCCGCGGUAAUUCCAGCUCCAAUAGCGUAUAUUAAAGUUGCUGCAGUUAAAAAGCUCGUAGUUGGAUCUGGGGCUUGAGGUCGCUGUCUAUCGUUUCGGCGAUGACGGUGAUGCUCAGCUCUGCUUGCCGGUGACUGUUGCGGUGUUCUUCACUGAGCGCUGUAGCAGCACGGCACGUUUACUUUGAAAAAAUUAGAGUGCUCAAAGCGUGCUUGUCGCUUGAAUAAUGUUGCAUGGAAUAAUGGAAUAGGACCUCGGUUCUAUUUUGUUGGUUUUCGGAGCUUGAGGUAAUGAUUAAGAGGGACGAACGGGGGCAUUCGUAUUGCGGUGUUAGAGGUGAAAUUCUUGGAUCGCCGCAAGACGGACUACUGCGAAAGCAUUUGCCAAGAACGCUUUCAUUAAUUAAGAACGAAAGUCAGAGGUUCGAAGACGAUCAGACACCGUCCUAGUUCUGACCAUAAACGAUGCCGACCAGCGAUCCGUAGUGGUUGCUUUAUGGACCCUACGGGCAGCCUCCGGGAAACCAAAGUAUUUGGGUUCCGGGGGAAGUAUGGUUGCAAAGCUGAAACUUAAAGGAAUUGACGGAAGGGCACACCAGGAGUGGAGCCUGCGGCUUAAUUUGACCCAACACGGGAAAACUCACCCGGUCCGGACACCGUAAGGAUUGACAGACUGAUAGCUCUUUCUUGAUUCGGUGGAUGGUGGUGCAUGGCCGUUCUUAGUUGGUGGAGUGAUUUGUCUGGUUAAUUCCGAUAACGAACGAGACUCUAGCCUGCUAAGUAGUGUUGCUAUUGUUAUAUGGUUGACACUUCUUAGAGGGACAAGUGGCAUUUAGCCACGCGAAAUUGAGCAAUAACAGGUCUGUGAUGCCCUUAGAUGUCCGGGGCCGCACGCGCGCUACACUGGAGAAGUCAGCGUGUGUUAUCCAAGUCCGAAAGGACUGGGUAAUCCGUUGAACCUUCUUCGUGCUUGGGACUGUGGCUUGGAACUAUUCCACAUGAACGAGGAAUUCCUAGUAAUUGCAAGUCAUAAGCUUGCGUUGAUUACGUCCCUGCCCUUUGUACACACCGCCCGUCGCUACUACCGAUUGAAUGGUUUAGCAAGGUCCUCGGAUCGUGGCCGUAGGGGCACGCAAGUGUUUCUGCGGUUUGCGAGAAGACGACCAAACUUGAUCAUUUAGA
rnacentral:rRNA from 1 species